UAACAUCAAUGUGAGGCACUUAAAAAUAUGCUCUUAUUUAUUGAUCUAAGCAGGAGAUGAACUCUUCUGGCAAUUUAUUCCCAGUGGGAAGAUGGAAUAUCUGGGACAUCUGACCUUGUACACCCUCCCUUGGUACUGGGGAGGUGCAGUCCUCCUCAAGGCCAUCAAACACAGGACCACAGUCAAACAGGCCUUCAGGUACACAUCUCCUUGCCUGGCCAACUCUGAGGAGAUGUUGAGUCUCUUGUGGACACUUUCUUCCUUUGCAGUGUGUUUCAUGCCUCUCUUCAGAGUACAUUGAACAGAGACUUCACCAUCUUGACUGACUGUGUAUUGCAGGGGGCAGUUGGACACUUUCUCAUGAGAACCAGCAGCAUAGAAUACUGAGAUGAGAGAGCAGCACAUUACUAAAAAUGAAAGCAUGGCUCAUCUAGAGACCUGUAUUUCCACACAAAGCUUUCUGACCCUCUGUCAAUCUUUCUUUACUUCAACCAGUGGUAAAGUUAUGUAUGUGCAACCUUUUCUUCUUACUCCCCUCCUAGGCUUCCCCAGUGUGGUGCAGCUUGCUGGAGCAUCUCUUUAUAGCGUUUACCAAACUUCUUUGGCUGUAAAGCAGUGGACAGAAAAGAAGGUCCUUCUAAAAGCACUAUCUUCUCACUUGAAACAGAAAAAGCAAUAGGCAUACAGCAUCUUGCAGAGAAGUUAAGACUGUCACAAGCAAUGUCAGCUGGGCUGCUAAAUAACAUGCACAUAUUAGUGCAGUGGUAUGGCUUUUUUUUUUUUCAGCUGUUGAAGCAAAACAUUUGGUGACUGUCUUAUCCCAGCCCUAACCAUUUGAAAAAUGACUCCCAGUGAGGCUUGUGUUUGCCCUUCAUUAACUUGACUGGGUGAGGUGGAUUUGUUUUGUGGGUCAUCAAAACCUUGGACACUGGAGUAACACUUCAGCUUCUGUGUGUUCAGAUGUAAAGCAACAAAAAAGGAGGAAACACUUUUGGUGACCCAGUUUCACUGGAGCUGAGAACAGAUAGAUGUAUUUUCUAUAGCGUGCAGUAUUGCUGCAAAGUGGUGAAGGAGUGAAGUGCUAAACUGCUGGUGUCUGUGCUGAUUUGCCUCCUGACUUGGAUAAGUAUGACAAAUUUGUGUCAGGGAUUAGUCUUCAUUUGUAGCCUGCAAGGACAAAUCCUAUAGGCAGUGAUGGUUUUAUUCUGCUGACUGUGGAGAUGAGUAAAAAUAGCAGCAAUAGCUAAAGACAGUCUUAUAAAUAUGAGUGUUUAUGCAAAAUAAUGUUUGCCACCAGAACAGAGAAGACUUUGGGGCCUAGUUGUGCAAUUCUCAGUAGCCAGCACUAUCUAUGGUGGCUACCUCCUCACAGCUUGGGCCUUGUGCAUUAGAUGGUGUUUCACUGUGCUCUAGAACCACUAUUGUGCUUGCCUUUAAUUUUCAGCUGAGAUUUGAAGUAAUGUUGUCCUAAGAGACCUGGAGCUCGUACAACUCUAGUGCGGUAGUUUUCAUUCCUAAAGAUAUUUUCCUUAGUAGUACUGUCUGUUUUCCUGGGUUUUUGUUAACUCUCUGCAUCUUUUACAGAGUCAGUUUAGAUAAUUUUUCAUUUCUUACCAAGGUUGGAACAAAUAAAAUAUAAAUCCUUUAUCAGCACUAAAAGAUACAAAGGCUUGAAGUCUACCUAGCAUUUCUCUUAUCCACUUCAACUCCUCAAAGCUAUUCAUAUAUAACUUAAUAUCUUAGUAGAAAUCCAUUAAGGCAGUUCUUCAGAAGCCUAAGACAUUUUAUCAGGUUAUAUAAAUCUAAGGCUAAUUCCAUUGAUCACAGUGGACCUCAACCAUUUCACAGCAGGUUGUGAACCUUGGAAAGUCUGUGGAAGUAGUGCCUGGGAAUAGCUCUGUGUAUCUAAUUAGUAAAUUAGUGUGGUGUGCCUACCACUUAGUAGUGGUUACUAGUACCGUUUAUGAAAUAAGCUCUGUACCAACCCUAGACUUCUUUGCUCAUAAAACUUAUCACUUGAAAUUCUUGUCAAACAUUAAUUAAUUCUUAGAAAAUGUACAGCAUUUGUAUACGGACAGUAUAUAGCUAAUCUGGUCCUUUGUAACAAGACCUUGGGUUUUCUGUCUUCAGCUCAUCCACAUCCUACUGGAAGGUCUCUGGGAUUGAAAAUCUGCUGAGGAGAUCCAUGGCAAGGAUACAUGAAAUCUCUUUCACGGUUUUGAGCCAUAUAACAUCCCAAAGUUGGUACUUCCCCAGCAAGGCAGCAGAGUUGUUACCAGCUGUGUGCUGGGACAAUGCUGCCUUUGGUGGAGGUCCACUGAUGCAGCACCUAUAAAGGUGUGGGGUUGAAAACACUGCGUGUUUUUCUUGUGGAUAAAUGCCCUCUUCCUGUCUGUCCCCUUAUGAAAAGUACCUCUCAGAGCUGGCUUUGAUGAAUCCUGCUCUUUGUGGGUGUUUUCCCAUCUCAGCUGUGCUAACCACGUUGUUUCCUUAAGGUUAAGUGGGUAGGUAGAGUGUCUUGCAAGACUUGUUUUCUAGCUAUUAGUUUUGACCUAUUUUGUGUAUCGGUAUCUGGGCUGUUUGUCCAGAUGUGCAUAAAAUAAAAAAAUACCCCCAAAAAGAAGUUUUCCAAUUUUAGACAACUGUUCUGAGCCCUCAGAGGGGUAUUCAUAUUCAGUUGCUUGAGAGGAAGUAUGGCUUAUUUCUGCAGUAAACAGGACUAGUGGUCUCUUGUGCUUGAUAGAGGGUUAUAAUGUAAAUGUAGAAAUGUUCUUGCUUGAAUGAACUGAUUUAUUACUGUGCUCUCUUUUAGGAUAGUGGAAUUGUCCCCAGAGAGGUCAAGGGGUUGGUGAUGUACUUGCCUGAUGUGCUGAAAUGGAGCCUCACUUGCUCAGUGCUUUAGCUGCCUGCAUGGGGUUUGCAGACUGCAUGGGAUACAUCUUCUGCUCUGAUACACGUACUUAUCAUGGUACAUCUAAACUCAUACUCUGGUCAUCCACGGGGACAAGCUUUCUCCUCCCAGUUGUCCAGAGCAUGAGUCCUACCGAGAGCUGAAUUUGCCCUGGUGUAAUCUGUAGCAGGCAGGGACAUGCCAGAGCACUAGAUGAAGGAAGAUAAUUAGAUGGCAUUCAUUUAUCUGAGCACACUUCCCACUACUUAGAGAGCACUCUGCAUCUUGGUGGGCACUGGCAGCCUUGUACAAAAGAUAUCAGGCCAUUCUCUAUUCUUUGGCCCUGAGCAGGGGUGAGAAUAUCAUCCCCUCUGUGGGUGAGACUGGUCUGAAUGGUACAGUCAGUAAUCACGUGUUACUCUGGGACAUCAGCAGCCGUGUGAGGAUGACUCGUCUGCUUUUGUAGUGAUAAUGAAUGUGUUUUGAAGCCAUCAACACAGCUAGGACUCAUUUGUUUUGUCUUUUUUUUGUCAACUGAGUUUAAUUGUUUCACAACCAGAACUCUUUGAAAAAACAAACCAUUUCUGCAUCUUCGACUACCCGCAUUCCUAGGGUUUAUUCCAUUAACUACAGGGACUGUGGAUUCUGGUUAAAAUAAUCUGCCUCUGGAAAUGGAGAAAUUGACCUGUGUUGUGCACAGAAAGAUGCCAAUUAGUUCUCUACUCAAGUAAAAAUUUAACAAAGGCUUGAAUGUUCCUGUGCCUGUUGCUUUACAAGAUUGUUUAUCAGUUUACAGGGAGGCCACGCUGCCUUUUCAAAGUGCUGCUGGAGGGCUGCCAGCAACAGUAACAGAAACUAUGCUCACUGUUUAAAUGCCACUGGAUGCAGGAACAGCAGACUGAUGCCUGCUUUCCUUUCAUUUUGUGAUUAUCUAAUUGCAAGAGAUAUAUAAUUCCUUGUUAUGUCAGGGAAGUUGUUUCUCCAGCAUCUGGUACUUCUCUGAUUAUCUACAAACGAUAUCUGAAAAUUAAUAGCUAUUGUGUAAGAAGUACUACUGGGAACUGCUGCCUGCUCUAAGCUCGAGAAGACUUCAGAGACUGCAAGAACUGGCUUUGUCAGUGAACAUAUAAUUUUCUUUUUUUUUUUCUUUUUCUUUUUCUUUUUUUUAUAACAUCCUAGUAAAUUACAGGCUUUGGUUAUGGUUUGAAGAAAUGUGUUCUACAAAUGUUGUAGCAUCUGUAUGCUGCUGUUUUUACUGCAGCCAUUGUACAGGUCAUUAAUCUGAUCCCACAUUGUAAAAAUUUCUCCACCCUCUCCAGUUGAUGCCUAACUCUGCUAUGUUCCCUUAUAAUUACCUGGGGUAGAACAACAGGUUUUUUUAUCCUCAAUGCACUUGGCUCUUGCAGCAGUGCUGCUGAGCACCAUGCUCACCCCACCUUUGUGACAGACUGCACACCCAGCUCUGAUGGGCUGCUCCCAGUGGCCGGGGAGACAUCUGGGCAACAGAUCCUCCUCUCUCAUCCUCAUCGGCUGCUCCCCAGGAUGAGCUCAUGACACAAGUCUGAAGAGGAGAAAUAGCAGCUGCAAAUGCUCCCAUGUCUGAUACUUGGUUUUCACCAAACCCCCCUCUGCAAGGGUUGUUGCCGUCCAGUGCUGUGCAAGGGGAAUGGUUGAGCAAACCCCUCCCAAGCAAGGUGAGGGGAGACGGCAGGUUUGCCUGGGCUGUGGGGCAGGUCUAUAGCAGGCAGUAACAGGGAUGGUCCAGCUUUGGUUGCAAAGCUUAAAGUGAGCACUGCUGGGAAAACAGUGGCAUUUGGAAAGAAUAAUUUUUGGGAACCUACCUGAGCACGGGUCCCAAAAAGUGUCCAGGAAGACCACGUGGGAGCAUGUCAUGGGCAUAGUCAGUACUUGGUACAUUCAAAGAGUUUAGUCUGAAGUGGUGAUCUCCACCAAAAACUAGGUCUCCACCAGCUUUUCAUAACUGGCAAAAGGACAGUACUUAAGUUUUACUGCCCAAUGGGCAAACACUCUCCCAAGGGUACAUGUCCUAGGUAACCCAAAAUGCUAUUGUAUUCCAUAUCCAUCCGUGUCCAAAACAUCGUUACUGUUUAAGGCCCAGCAGCACAGCCAGAACCGCAACUGUGGGGCAGUAGGGAGGUGAUGAUCCCUUUAAAAGGUUCGGGUCUGACACCUUUUUCCCUUUGUCUCCCUAUAUGCAGCUGGCAGUGGGGGCUGCUAUCUUGGAAGGGGUGGUACCCUGCCAGUUUGGGUGUCCCUGUGGAGUUUGUGAGAUUUAGCAAUUUUGUAUGUAGUGAUUAUUCACUGCUAUUUUUUGUCUGUUGCUGUUUCACUCAUUAGUAAAACUUAUUUUUUCCACUUA